ACGGUUACCUUGUUACGACUUCACCCCAGUUAUCGAUCCCACCUUCGACGGCUCCCUCCGUUUGGUUGGGUCACCGGCUUCGGGCGUUACUGACUCCCAUGGUGUGACGGGCGGUGUGUACAAGACCCGGGAACGUAUUCACCGCGACAUUCUGAUUCGCGAUUACUAGCGAUUCCAGCUUCAUGUAGUCGAGUUGCAGACUACAAUCCGAACUGAGACGUUAUUUUUGGGAUUUGCUCGCAUUCACAUGGUCGCUUCCCUUUGUUUACGCCAUUGUAGCACGUGUGUAGCCCUGGUCAUAAGGGGCAUGAUGAUUUGACGUCGUCCCCACCUUCCUCCAGGUUGUCCCUGGCAGUCUCUCCAGAGUGCCCAUCUAAAAUGCUGGCUACUGAAGAUAGGGGUUGCGCUCGUUGCGGGACUUAACCCAACAUCUCACGACACGAGCUGACGACAACCAUGCACCACCUGUCUCCCCUGUCCCGAAGGAAAACUCCCAUUACAGAGCUGUCAAGGGGAUGUCAAGAUCACGUAAGGUUCUUCGCGUUGCUUCAAAUU
rnacentral:rRNA from 1 species